rnacentral:rRNA from 1 species
GUAGGUGGCAAGCGUUAUCCGGAAUUAUUGGGCGUAAAGCGCGCGUAGGCGGUUUUUUAAGUCUGAUGUGAAAGCCCACGGCUCAACCGUGGAGGGUCAUUGGAAACUGGAAAACUUGAGUGCAGAAGAGGAAAGUGGAAUUCCAUGUGUAGCGGUGAAAUGCGCAGAGAUAUGGAGGAACACCAGUGGCGAAGGCGACUUUCUGGUCUGUAACUGACGCUGAUGUGCG